rnacentral:tRNA from 1 species
GCCUUUGUGGCGUAACGGUAGCACACUCGGCGCGUAUUCCGAGAGGUCAUAGUUCGAUUCUAGGCGAGGGUA